rnacentral:rRNA from 1 species
ACUACGGGAGGCAGCAGUGGGGGAUAUUGCACAAUGGGGGGAACCCUGAUGCAGCGACGCCGCGUGGGUGAAGAAGCGCCUCGGCGCGUAAAGCCCUGUCAGCAGGGAAGAAAAUGACGGUACCUGAAGAAGAAGCCCCGGCUAACUACGUGCCAGCAGCCGCGGUAAUACGUAGGGGGCAAGCGUUAUCCGGAUUUACUGGGUGUAAAGGGGGCGCAGACGGCGAUGCAAGCCAGGAGGGAAAGCCCGGGGCCCAACCCCGGGACUGCUCUUGGAACUGCGUGGCUGGAGUGCAGGAGGGGCAGGCGGAAGUGCUGGUGUAGCGGUGAAAUGCGUAGAUAUCAGGAGGAACACCGGUGGCGAAGGCGGCCUGCUGGACUGCAACUGACGUUGAGGCCCGAAAGCGUGGGGAGCAAACAGGAUUAGAUACCCGAGUAGUC